GACGAACGCUGGCGGCGUGCUUAACACAUGCAAGUCGAACGAUGAAGCCUUCGGGUGGAUUAGUGGCGAACGGGUGAGUAACACGUGGGUAAUCUGCCCUGCACUCUGGGAUAAGCCUUGGAAACGGGGUCUAAUACCGGAUAUCACACUUCUAGGCAUCUAGUGGUGUUGAAAGUUUUGGCGGUGCAGGAUGAACCCGCGGCCUAUCAGCUUGUUGGUGGGGUAAUGGCCACCAAGGCGACGACGGUAGCCGGCCUGAGAGGGUGACCGGCCACACU
rnacentral:rRNA from 1 species